rnacentral:rRNA from 1 species
AGGGAGUUUGAUCCUGGCUCAGGAUGAACGCUAGCUACAGGCUUAACACAUGCAAGUCGAGGGGCAGCAUGAACUUAGCUUGCUAAGUUUGAUGGCGACCGGCGCACGGGUGAGUAACGCGUAUCCAACCUGCCCCGAGGUCAGGGACAGCCCGGCGAAAGUCGGAUUAAUACCUGAUGGUCUCUUUAGAUGGCAUCUGACGAGGAGUAAAGAUUCAUCGCCUUGGGAUGGGGAUGCGUAGGAUUAGGCAGCAGGCGGGGUAACGGCCCACCUGGCCAUCGAUCCUUAGGGGUUCUGAGAGGAAGGUCCCCCACACUGGUACUGAGACACGGACCAGACUCCUACGGGAGGCAGCAGUGAGGAAUAUUGGUCAAUGGGCGAGAGCCUGAACCAGCCAAGUAGCGUGCAGGAAGACGGCCCUACGGGUUGUAAACUGCUUUUAUGAGGGGAUAACGUGCGCCACGUGUGGUGUAUUGCAGGUACCUCAUGAAUAAGGACCGGCUAAUUCCGUGCCAGCAGCCGCGGUAAUACGGAAGGUCCGGGCGUUAUCCGGAUUUAUUGGGUUUAAAGGGAGCGCAGGCGGCCUUUUAAGCGUGACGUGAAAUGUAGGCGCUCAACGUCUGAAUUGCGUCGCGAACUGAUGGGCUUGAGUCUACGGAAUGCCGGCGGAAUUCGUGGUGUAGCGGUGAAAUGCUUAGAUAUCACGAAGAACUCCGAUUGCGAAGGCAGCUGGCAGCAGUCAGACUGACGCUCAUGCUCGAAAGUGCGGGUAUCGAACAGGAUUAGAUACCCUGGUAGUCCCCU